rnacentral:misc_RNA from 1 species
UUUCCGUAGGUGAACCUGCGGAAGGAUCAUUAUUGUAUAACCGAGGUGCGAGGGCUGUCGCUGACCCGAAAGGUCGUGCACGCCCGAGUGCUCUCACACACAUCCAUCUCACCCCUAUGUGCACCACCGCGUGGGUCCCCCUUUGGCUUGUUCGGAGGGGGGCUUACGUUUUCACACAAACUUUGUAUGCAGUGUAGAAUGUAUUCUUUGUUUUUGCGAUCACGCAAUCAAUACAACUUUCAACAACGGAUCUCUUGGCUCUC